rnacentral:lncRNA from 1 species
UUUCGUUUUCAUCCUUAUCAUGUAGUUCAGAUAGGAACAUUCUUAAAUUCUAUCCUUAUUAUAGAGUCAAACUGGAUAUUCUUUAAUGACAUUUUUGACAAUAAAAAUAUUAUUUUCAAUAAUGUUACACACUUCUCUUUUUCCUAUAUAAACAACAUAGCUCAUUCAUAAUUAGAACCACAUUCUUCUGCACAUUGAAAUCCUGAAUAGACUCUGUGAUAUGAUGGACAAAGAAAGUUCACUUUCUAGGAGCCUCCUUAUUUUGUUUUUUAUAACUCUUUGUUAUUCUUCGAGUCAUUCAACUACUAAUAGAAAGCUAUUUGAUUUGAAAUCUCAAAUUGAGACUAAAUCUAGAAGUGAUUUUGCUCACAUGCUACCAAAGUUUAUCCCCAUACCUCCAUCUGCUCCAUCUUGUGAAAGAAGUGGCGGCUUGCCUCCUUUGUGUCCACCACCUCAUAGACGUCCACCCGUGUUUUAACCAAAUAGAUGUAUCUCUUGCAAGGUAAUUCAGCUACAUUAGCAUGCAGCGUAUAUGUUGAAAUUAUAUAUAUAGUAUAGUAGUGUUCGGGUAACUUCAUUGUAUGUGCAUCUAGAUUAUUGCACAUUACUAUUGGAAGGAAGUAUUUUAUUUUAUCGACUAGUUGAAAUGAAAUAGUUUCAUUGUUGGAUUGCAAAUUUACUAUUUGUGAUUCUAAGAAAAUCUUAUUCUUGUUCUUCUUUCCUUUUAGUAUUAGAAUUGUUUAGUCGUUGUGGUGAAGGAGUUGUAGGUUAUGGUAGUUCUUGAUGGUGGCCGGGUUGUUGCUGACGUCUCACCCAUUAGGCUAUUUAGGCAAUUGCUUAGGGUUCCAUCGGUGUUAGGGCCCAUAUUUUUCAUAUAUAAAUAGUUAUAUAGAGUAUAGACUAUUAAAAAAAUUAUUGAAAUAUUUUGUUAGCAUAAAAAGGAAAAUCGCACAUAUUUUUCAAGAAAAAACAAGAAAGAAAAACAAAGCAACGUUUUACAUGAAAUCUUUUUUAGCAAAAAAAGUCGAACAAUUCAUUACUAAGUAAAGCUUUAAAUUUAAUUUUGCAUCUAAAAAAAAUCAUUUUUUUUAAGUAAAUAAAUAUAUAUUUUAAAAUAUGAAGUUAAGAUCCCUCAUUAUAGUUUGCCUAAAGGCCCCCAAGAGUCACCCCUGGUUGUAGAUAAAUGGUGACUAUUAUUUGUGAAAAUAGGAGAUAGGAAGUAAGAUAAAAGAAGAAGGUUUUUGAAAUUCUUAAUAUUGUGAUGCUUGUUAGAGGUCUAUAUAUAAUUUUUGUUAUUCUAUUUAUUCCUAAAUAAGUGCACCUUUUAAUCUGAAUACACUCUUUAAUAAUUAGGAACUUGUACAAAUCAUUGGUUUUAUUCUUUGAAAUGAAUUCCACUACUGUGUCACUCAGUGUGUGUGUUAUGAUACAAUUUUAAGGACAAACUUAUAUAUAUUGGCCAUAGUUAAUAAAUUUAACCAUAAAAAAUUAUUAUAAAAAUGUGAUUAGUUAUUUAUAAAAAUUUUAAUACUAAUUAAAAUUGAUGAUUUUCAUCGAGAAUUUGACCGUGAGGUCAUGCUAACUUCAUAUGAAUUUAUACCAAGAAGUGUUUCAUGAGUAGGGCUUGACUUACGUAGGAGGGUGAGGGUUUCGCGGCACUUGAACCUUUGGUUGAAACUCUGUAUACGUCUUCUUGGGUUUGAAUCCUUAUUAUUUUGUGUACGUAGGAGGCUGAGGGUAUCGCGACACUUUAACCUCUCAGUUGAAACUCUGUAUACGUCCUUUUAGGUUUGAAUCCUUAUUGUUUUGUGUCAAAACUGCUAAUUACUUUGUGAAUACUGAUUCUACUUUUCCAACAUACUGCUUAUGUUAUUGCUUAAAGGAAUACGUAUCCGAAACUUUCAAAUUCUAGUUUCACCUUUGAUGAUGAGUAUCAUUCAAUAAUCACACCUGAUAUAAACUAAAGAUGUCAUCGGUUUACCCCCCAAGCCACUAAAGCUUAUGUUUAGCCUCCAAAAAUAUUAGAGGUACCUAAUAUUGCUCCUAUCAUUAAUCAUAUAAUUUAAUAUUUUAUAUUGUUCUUUAUAAAUUUGGGAUCUAGUGGAUCAAAAAGGCCUUAAACUAGAUUUAUAUUUAAUAUACUUAGGGCUCAUUUAUUUGUUUGCACUUAAUUAAGGUCUGAAUCUGAAAUGGUUCAGAUUUCAAAUCAUUAAAUGUAUUUGUUUUUAAUUAAGAUUUUAGCUCUUAAUAAGUCUGAAUAAGUCUUAAUCAUUCAGAUCUAGAAUCAAGUAUUUAUAGGUCUGAAGAGGUAUUAUAGUGUUGGAUAAUACUCAUUCCCACGCUAUUCAUAAUCAUCAGUCACCAUCACUAGCCACCUCUACCACCGCCAUCGCCACCAUUGUCAACCACUACCAACCACCUCCACUAUCCACAACAAAUAUCGUUACUAACCACUAUUGUUGUCAACCACUACCACACCAACUACCUUUAUUAUUAUAAUUAUAUUCACUGUCAUCUACACCACCACCAUCAUCAACAACUACCGGAGAAUUCCUACUAUCGACCAACUCAUCCAUCACAACUAGCACCACCACUAACUACCACUAAUACAUCACAACCUCCACACAUUCUUCAGCCACCACCACCAUUGUCACUAGUAACACCACUUCAACCACUACCAUCGCUACAGUUUAUCUCUACUAAUAGCUAUCUCCACCAUUAUCAACAACCACGAUCAUAACAGUCACUAUAAUACCAACCAUCACAACUAUCACAACCAACAUUACUAAUCACUAACAUCAAUCAUUGUUACCGUAACCACCAUUAUAAACCAUCUCCACUAUCACUAAAAAUAUAUAAAUGUGUUUUUUUAAUCAAAUAAUAAUUUUGUUGUAUAAAAUUACAUACUUUUCUGAUAUAUAAUUAGUUUUUUACUUGAAUUGUAUUUUUUAUUUUAUUAUAUAUACGAAUUUUUUUCACAUUCACGUGUUGAAAAACAAACAGUCUUAAUAAUUCAGUUUUCAGAUCUAGAGACAAUAUCUUAAUCAUUCAAAUGUGCAUUCAGAUUCAAACGUCUGAGUCUUAAAAAAACAAAUGCAGCCUUAAAUGUAUUGUUUACAUUACCCUCCUUAACUAUAACUUUCAAGGUUCGUGCUAUGAACAUGCGUUAACUCUUUAAAAAGCUUUUAAAAAGUGUUAAUUAUUAGGAUCAAGCAUUUAUCAUCAUGUCAAAAUCUAGACAUGACAGCAAAGAUGUAACUUUAUUUUUGAGCAGGAAGUUAGUCUUAUCCAAUAAUUCCGCUCCCAACACAUACCACAUGCAACAUGUUGUGUUUGAAUUGAAUCCAUGACCUUGAUUUUGAUACCACUUGUUGGGAUUAAGCGUUUACAUUAUACCAAAAGUUAUAAUUGAUAAGAAGUAUCAAACUUUAUUUCUUAACGAAAUCCACUAAGCAAGUAAUAUAUUUGGUCAUGACUACUCAUAUCCGGGCCACCCCAUCCCCUACUUUGCCCUUAUCACAGGUAGAUUGUUGGUAUUACUCAAUAAUAUUUUGUUGAGUGUUAUGUUUUUAAUGAUGAUAAUUAAAUUAUGCUUAUCCCAAGGUUGUGUUUUAGUCUGCAAAGUUGAUAAAAUAUUAAGGAUGGUAGCGAAAAGGACUUAGCAAUUAUUGUCAUUUGAUUGAAUAUAAAUUAUUGCUCAAUUAACAUAUUAUAGUUAUGAAUUCAUAUCUUGUAUUAGUCUUGUAAUUUUGUAUUCCAAGGAUAUAAGCAAAGAAGGAGAUAAAAUCAUAGAGCAUUCUAUUUAUUGAAGGAAAGGAAUUUUACUUAGUCUUUCUUAGUGAAUAAUGAUAAAAACUCUAAUAACAACUGUUAUAAUAAUAAUAAUAAUAAUAAUAAUAAUAAUAAUAGAAACCAUUAAUUAAUAAAAUAUUAGUCCUGAUAAAUCAUAACAUUAAUAUAAAUACUUAUUAGUUAAUUAAUGAUACUGAAUAUAAAAUAAAUAUUAUUAAGAUAUUUGUAAGUGAUAUAUUAUUUAUACUUGAGCUGUAUUAGAUACUGUUCUAAGAAACUAUUUUAGCGGCGUGAAAUAUUUCUCCUAGAUUAAACAAGCACUUCCCUAAUUAAUUAGAGGAUAUUCAAGAUUUAAUAAGACUUUCAUAAUUAAUCAGAGGACACAGGAAUCAACAAAAUUAUUAAUAUAAAUGUCAGUAAGUAAAAUUUGAGAUUUCAUAAAAGAAUAAUCAAAUAAUUAAGUAAGUGCAUAAAAUAAGAGAAAAAUGAAGGAGGAAAAUGUUGAAAAGAAGAUAAUAACAAGAAUGAUGGGAUAAUUUUGAAUGCUAGUGUAACCUAUUUACAGUGGUUCAAUAGACUUAAGAUGUUGACAAGUGUCCAAACACUUGUCCAAAUAUUUUCAAGUUUAACAAGUGUUGAUGUUUUAAAAGAACAAUGACAUGCAUAUUGCCAACACCAUUGGUAGUUAGCCACAUCCUAAAGUAAAUAUGCUGGCUUCCAAAAUACAUUUUAAUAUAAAUUAUUAUUGAAAUAAAUACUUUUCCUACAAUCCCCACAUUAUUUCAAAAGAAUUUAUAAGAAAAGAAGUUUAACUUGCUUGAUUUUCAUAGACAAGGUGCAGUAGAUUUGGUGUCUUCUGUACUAUGAACAAAAUUUAGAUCAAUAAAAUUUAACUUACAGAAUUAUCAGAAAUAUAAUACUUUUAUGAACCGAAUAAUUUUUAUUGUAAGUCAAAGACUUUAUCAAUCAUAUUUUGACCGUAAUUUUGCUAUUCAACGUGAUUUUGCGCCAAUAGGUCAUGCAGGUGCUUGAUAUUCAUGAGAGCUCUAUAGACUAAGGCCAAAAGACUCAUAGUAAUGGCUUCAUUCCACUUCUCAUAUAAAUGAAUUCAUCAAGUGUACAUUGUUUUAAAUACAUCAUCCAUAAGGAUAAUAAAUUCAUUAAGAGUUAAUAACUCAUCCCUCAAGUAGCAGUUCAAGCACUCUCAGUUAGUGCCCAAAGUCAAUAUCGACUUGUUAUUACCCAUAUGAACUUACUUCCCUACUUCAUGGGAUUUUCAAUCACAUAAGUUGGGUUACCAUCUCUAUUGAUAAUUAUAUAGUCCUUAACCACAUUUCUUUUGAGAUUUGAGAAAUUAAUUUUCUUCCCAUAAUCAAUGAAAAUUAUUCUAUCUCUCAGCAAUUUCUUAAUAACAUCAUAUCUCAAUUUCAUAUGUCUACUUUUACAAUUGUAAUAUUUAUUCUUCAAAAUAACAAUUGCGGCUUGAAAAUCACAAUAUAUGUAUAUAGAAUGCACCAUAUUAUCCUUUUUAAAGUUAUAUUAGAUAAAGAUCAUCAUUUUUUAGAGGAAUAUUAGGCAACAGUUUACCAUAGUACCCUAUUAAAUGAUGUUUACAUUUUAAUUUGAAGAAAAAAUAACUAAUGCAAAAGGUAAAAUAUGAAAAAAAAAAUUGUCUCUUCUUGAUUAAUGAAAAACGAUAAGUAAAAUGAAAAAUUAAAUUAGAAAAUUUAGAAUGGGUAAUUUGAGAUGGAAGGAGUAUAUUUUACAAUAUUAUUCAAAGUACAUAUUAUUUUGACUUUUAAAAAAGAAAAUUAUGAUAAGUAAAAAAGGAACGGAGGCCGACGGAGUACCCCCUCCAUCUAUCUUUACUUGUCUAUGUUACUAAAAAUAGAUAUCAAUUAUGCUUGUCUAGUUUGAAAUCAAUAAAUAAUCUAUCAUUUUACGUAAUUACAUUAUAAUCAAAACAUAAUAUAAUAUAAUUAUUCUUAUUAUUUAUUAUUUUUUAAAAUGUGUAAAGUCAAUACGCUCUUCAUUUCGGAAUAAAUGAAUUGUUGGGGUAUUUAUUGGUGUUUCAAAUAAGUGAAUCAUUGAAUUUUUUUUUAAAUUUACCCUUAUAAUUUGACAAUCAAUUAAUUUUUAAAAAAAAUAUUAAAAGAUCAACUUUUUUUUGAGAUAAAAAUAAAAAAAUUAUAUUAAAUUUAUGUAUUUAAUAUAUAUAUUUGUUUUAAUUUAUGUAUCAAAGUUGAAUAAUUCAUUUAUUAUAAAACGAGAGAAGUAAUAAAUAAGUGAAGAUGGAUGAUGGAGUAUGUAUCAUUGAAGAAAAAUCCUAUAUUGACUUUAUUUACUUCUUGGUCAAAAGGACUAGGGAGUUGGGGAGUCAAUUUAUGCCAUUCUGGCGUCGUUAUUCUAGAAAAUGUAGUAGGUGUAGUGAUGUGACAGUUGAAUGACUAAUUGAUGUAUUUAAUAAGAAUGAAUGUGAAAUACUUCAUCCGUUUUAUAAUAAAUAAAUUAUUGAAUUUUAGUAUAUAUAUUAAAAAAACAUUAAAAAUAUAAAUUUAACAUAAUUUUCCAUUUUUACCUCUUAAAAAAGAAAAAGUUGACCUUGUAAUACCUUUUUAAAAGUUAAUUAAUUGUCAAAUCAUAAGAGCAAAUUUGAAAAAAAAAAUUAAUGAUCCACUUAUUUUGAAACAUCAAUAAAUAUCCUCAACAAUUCAUUUAUACCGAAACGGAGGGAGUAGUUUCAAACUUAUGACAAAUAUGAUUUACAGUUAAUACAUAAAAAUGACCCUAAACUUGACACCAAAUUAAUAUUUUGACCUUAAACUUUGACAAUACACAAAUAUGAUCUGUAACUAUUCAAAACUACACAAAUAUGACCUUCAAUCCUACGUGGCAAAAUGCGUGUUCAACACGCAAAACUUGGCGCGUCCAGCUUAAAAUCUAAAGGCUAAUACAUACAUAUGACCUUAAACUUCAAUAGUGAACAAAUAUGACCUUUAACUAUUCAAAACUACACAACUAUGACCUUUAAAUGACUCUUCACUAUUAUUUUUUCAUUAUUUUCGACUCAAAGAUGAAAAUGACAUCUAAUUUCUUUUGUCAUUGCGGAAAAAGAGCAAUAUUGAAGAUUUAUUAAUUAGGCAGGUCAGCCUCAUAUGAAAAAAUCGAGUGGGUAUGUAUAUAUAUUAUAAAGCAGGGGACUAAUUUAAGUUAUAUAAUAUAUCUAAAUAUUAUUUAUUUAAAUAUUAAAUUAAAGAUGAAACUAUACUAAUAAUAAAAAAAUUAUAGUUUUAAUAAAACGUUAUUAAAUUAAUGUUAUUAAGGAUAGUAGUAGUAGUAUAUUAAAUUAACGUUAUCAAUUAACGUAAUUAAAAUGUUAUUAAAUUAACGUUAUUAAAUUAACGAGGGGUGGACCUACGUGGUCGCCAUGGGUUCACCCGAAACCCCCUCGGUAAAAAAUUACGUUGUAUAUAUAUAAGAUAAAAAAUGUAUAUUUAUGUACAUAUAUUAAUGUUGAACCACAUGAAACAAGACACUUAGAUAGCCCAGUGGUGUUAUUUGCUCUUCUUGGGCGCUUCCUUCAGCCUACUGUGCGGGUUCGAUCCAUGCUAGUGUAAUAAUAACAAUAACAAUAACAAUAAUAAUAAUAAUAAUAAUAAUAAUAAUAAUAAUAACAACGUCGUUUUAACACAAAAAGCAAAACUUUAAUAAUGCACAAAUAUGAUCUUUAACUAUUCAAAACUGCACAAAUAUGACCUCUCUCCAAGUCAGCCCUUUUAAUGAUGUGGCACCGUGUGAUUGGAUUACCUUUCCACGUAGGCGCAAGUGAGACUCACGCAUGGAGUUGCAAAAUCGGAUGUCAUAUUUGUUCAGAUUUUGAAUAGCUAAAGGUUCUAUUUAUGCACUAUCAAAGUUUAAGGUCAAAGUUAUUAUUUGGUGUCAAGUUUAGAUGGCUAGUUUGAGAUGAUACAUUGAUUAAGAAAAAUAAUUAGUAACAUGGCUAGUUUACCAUAGUACCUUAUUAAAUGAUGUUUAUAUUUUAAUUUGAAGAAAAAAUAAUUAAUGCAAAGGGUAAAAUAUGAAAAAAAAAAUUAUCUCUUCUUCAUUAAUGAAAAACAACAAGUAAAAUGAGAAAUUAAAUUAGAAAAUUUAGAAUGGAUAAUUUGAGAUGGAAGGAGUAUAUUUUACAAUAUUACUCAAAGUACAUAUUAUUUUGACUUUUAAAAAAGAAAAAUUAUGGUAAGUAAAAAAGUAAUGGAGGCCAAGGGAGUACCCUUCAUCUAUCUUUACUUGUCUAUGUUACUACAAAUAGAUAUCAAUAAUGCUUGUCUAGUUUGAAAUCAAUGAAUAAUCUAUCAUUUUACGUAAUUACAUUAUAAUCAAAACAUAAUAUAAUAUAAUUAUUUUUAUACUUCCUCCGUUUCAAAAUAAAUGAAUUAUCAGGGUAUUUAUUAGUAUUUCAAAAUAAGUGAAUCAUUGAAUUUUUUUUAAAUUUACCAUUAUGAUUUGACAACCAAUUAAUUUUUAAAAAGGUAUUACAAUAUCAACUUUUUAAUUUGAGGUAAAAAUAAAAAAUUGUGUUAAAUUAUAUAUUUAAUAUUUUUUUCUUAAUCUGUAUAUCAAAAUUUAAUGAUUCAUUUAUUAUGAAACGAGAGAAAUAAUAAAUAAGUGAAGAUGGACGAUGGAGUAUGUAUCAUUGAAAGAAAAAUCCUAUAUUGACAUUAUUCUUGGUCAAAAGGACUAGGGAGUUGGGGAGUCAAUUUAUGCCAUUCUGGCUUCGUUAUUCUAGAAAAUGUAGUAGGUGUAGUGAUGUGACAGUUGAAUGACUAAUUGAUGUAUUAUACUUUCAAACUUAUGGCAAAUACUAUGAUUUAAGGAGUUGUGUUCUAUUAGUAACAAGAAUAUCUCGAUGAUUUUUUAUUACAGACAAUUCAAUAAAAUUGAUGAGUUAAAGCUAAAUUUUAAUAAGAGAUGCAAUAUUAUUAAAAAAAAAUUUAUAAUCAAUUCAUUAUAAUGUUUGUUUUCAAUUUGAUAAUGUAACUAAUUUAUGUAAUCUUUAAUAUAUACUUAUUUAAAAAAAAAAAAAAAAGUCAUUACCAUUAGCAUAGGUCUUUGUUGUUGGAGGAUUUGACUUAACUCUAUUAUAUUUAUUCAAAAACACAUGCGUACAACGGUAAACACAUGCAAGACUGACUCCCCUCCACAAUAUUUCAAAAAAUGAUGAUUUUCUAAUUAUACAACAAGGAUUUUUCCACUCUACAUGUUCUAACACUAAGAAGUUGCCAUCUGUAUGACGUUGAUGUCCGUUGUUAUGUUUUCAAUACUUAAAGCUUAUUGGUAUCCCUUGCCAUAAACAUAUUACAAUAAUUAGUGAAGAGAAAAUAGUCUAAAAUCUCUUCAACCUUUACCCAAAAUUUUAAUUACACACUCGAAUUUUACGGGCCUAUUAACUCCCUAAACAUUUUAAAAUUAAAAUAUAUAUCCGUCUAAAAACUCAUACUCAAAUUUAUUUCAAAUAGUGACUUACACGCGUUACCACAUAAUAUCAUGUCAUAUAUCUUUUUUUAUCUAAAAAGUUAACUGUUUUUCUUUAUAUAUUUUCCUUUUCUCUUUAUUCUUUCCUCUUUUCUCUUUUCUCUUUUCGUUUUUCCUUUUCUCGUUGACUCCAAAUACUAGAAAAUGACGAAGACGACGUAGGCCAAGCUUCACUCAUAUGCUAAGCCUAGAAUUUCAAUCAAAUGUAGUUUCAAAGAAAAAUCUUUAAAUAAUUUUAAAAUAAAAAUUGAAACAAAAUGGAUACAUAUACACUUGUUAAUUUUGUGUUUAGAUUUACUUUUUUGUUUGUUUGUUUCUUUUGGUGAUAAUUGUUGCAAGUAUGAUUGUUGUGUUGAAUGUUGAUGAAAAGAAAAAAAAAAAUUUGUAUAUUUUUGUGCAUAUCAUUAAAACUUAAAUUGGUAGAGACAAAAAUGGUAAUUGAGAAAUUAAUGAUGAGAAGAUGAAAUUGGUAGAAGUGUUGAAAAAAGUGAUUUGGAUUCUGACAAAAAUAAAGAUGAGGGAGAUAAAGAGGUUGGCUAUGAUAGUCAUUGACGAGUUCUUGAAGCUUUUUAUUUCAUGAGAGAGAGUAUUUUGGGGAUGGAUAUAUGUGAUGAAGAAGAAAGAAAAUAAAUUGAAAAUAAUCUACAUACAUACAUACAUACAUACAUACAUACAUAUAUAUAUAUACUAGAUUAGUGUACGUGCUUUGCACGUGUCUCUCACAUCAAACAAUAAAAUAUACACAAGAAUUAAGAACAAUAUUAUUAGAAAGUAGUAAUAUAUUGACGUUAAAACAUGAUAUAUCUAUUUAAAUGAUAUAAAUAAAUAUUAUAUCUCAAAUAUAUUAUUGUAUGAUAUGCCUCACUUCAACGUUUAUUGUAAACGAAAAGACCAAAGUUAAUUUGAAUUUCAUGCAAAUAAACUUUUCUUUUCAUGCAAUAUGAUUUUCUACUUUAGUUAUUUUAUAUCUAGUUGAUUAAUUAAGUUAUUCUUUUUUACAUUAUAUGAUAUAUCAAAUUUUAAAUUUUAAAAUCCUUCUACUCCUAUAUGAUUUGUAUUACAUCUAUAUUAUUUGUAUUAUAUUAGAAUACUACCGACUUUUACACAAAAUAAGAAAAGAAGUUUGCCAAAAAUAGAUUUGUUUUGUAGAUAGGGGUGGGCAUGGUAUGGUAUGGUACGGUAUUUGAAACUUCGGUAUAGUAAUUUCGGUAGUCAGUUUUUAAAAACAUUAUACCAUUACCAUACCAUAUUAAUUCGGUAUGGUUCGAUAUUUUGACGUUUGGUUUCAGUAUUUUCUGAUAUGGUAAUAAGUAACCAUAGUUUUUUUAAGUUUGACAAUAUGUACUCGUAUACUAGAGUAUUAUUACUUCAACUUUUCAAAAGCAUGUCUUAAUUGUAUCAUAAAAAUGCAUUACACAUUUAGAAAUAUUGAAAAAGAAGUACAAACAAUUUCUUUUAUCAAUCAAUUACACUAAAAAGACAUUUCACUCAAGAUAGAGUAGUGAAAAUUUCAAAGUUUAAACAUUUUUACACUAAUACUAAGUAUUUUUUUUUUGUGUAUAUAUAUAUAUAUAUAUAUAUAUAAAGGUUACUUAUGUAACUAUAUAUACUUUAGUAUGAUAUUCGGUAUUUCAGUAUGUCAUUUAUAAGUACUGUAUAUCAUACCAUAUACCAAAAAAAAUAAAAUAUAUACCAUACCAAAUACCAUAAGACCAAAAACUACGGUAUCAAAAAUUUCGGUUCAGUAUGGUAAUUUGGUAUAUAUACCAUACCAUGCCCGCCCCUAAUUGUAGAUAUAUUAUUUGUAUUGUAUUAUUAUCAUACCUCUGAAUUUUGCCAAAACAAGAAAGUUUGCAAAAAUGAGGAAACGACAACUUUAACAACCAACGUGAAAAUAUUAAUCAAUUCUCCUCUUACAUAUUUUAUGAGUGUCGCUAAUAUUAUAAAUAUAAUAAUAUAAUAAUUUGAAAAAAUAAAUAAAAAGAUAAUUUUAUUUAUUGUAGAGAGAUAUAGAAAAUUUACUUCAACUCACAAGAAAUAAUUCUUGAAAUAUGGACUUUUAUUUCCAAAGUAAACACCAACGAUUAAUGACAAACAUGAAUAAGAAUGACUGUAUGAAUAAGAGAGUGACACUACUCAGAAUUCGAAGCAAAUUUUUUGAAGAAAGAUUUUUGUUAUGUGAAUCUUAUGUUUAAUUAGUUUACAAAUUCACAAUAUAUCCUCUCCCUUAUUUACUUAAUAAUCCAUGAAUUAAGAGCUAACAAACCAGGUUGGUAUAAUAUUGAAUAUAAGAAAUCAAAAGUAAAGAAGAAAAGUAGAAGAAUGAUUGUAGAAGAAGCAGUGUAGGUAAAGUCUUGAUCAAGAUUUUAUUGAAUAGAAUUAUAGAUUUUUUUUUAAAUAGGGUAAAACUAAUUAAUUUAAAAGUGUUCCAUAAACUUAAAAUUUUCAGUAUUAGUAGAAUUCUUUUUGCCUUUGUUUUUUGGGUCGUAUUUUGUCUAUUUUUGGGACCUUUUUUGUCAUAUUUUUGGAUCAAGCCUACUUUAAUGGGAAAAAGAUUUUUUGUCUAGGAAUUUAACUAUAAUAACAAAACCUUCUCCAUUUAAUUUUUAAUAUAUUUAUUAUAGUCAAUAUUUAAUAUUAUUAAAAUAAUGAUAUAAUAAUUGGAGAAAAAUUAUGAAAAGACGAUUAGGUCUAAAGCGGAGUCUUUUAAUGAAGGACAAAAAGUUCUAAUCACUUUUUUUUAGGAUUUUCACACUUUUAAUAUUAUAUAUAUAGAGAGAGAAUAUAAAAAUAAAGUUAUAAUAUUUGUUUUUGGUGCCCACUCUCUCAAAGAGAGUGAAAGACACGCACUUUGUCACAUAGGUGUUUAAGGGUGUAACAAAUUUAUUUUUAAAAUGUUCAGAUGAAUAAUAUGUCCCCCGUAAAGUUCAAUUGUGUAGUUGAAAUUUUCGGGUAAAGAUUUGGGGUUUUAAACUAUUUUCUCAUUAGUGAAUAAUCUAUUUCAAAAUCAAUAUUUCUAUAUUCGUUAGCCUCGAGAGCUUUAGUAUGGUUGUCGCUUUUACGUUUCACAAGAAUAGAGAAAGUCAUAACUAAAACUCCAGAAUCAUCCCUGACCACUUCGGGAGUACAUGAUCUUCCAUCUUUAUUAAUGUAGUUAUCGUCAGUGUUUCAAACAUUUCAUGACCUUAGAGAGUGCGUUGUUGUCGUUCUAAGUCACUGACGUAUCUUUUCUAAUCUUUAUUAAAUCAGGAAAAUAAAUUGGAUGAAAAGGACUUUCCUAUUGAAGUCCUUUGUGUAAAUCUCCGUAGCCAAUUUUUCUUAACCACAUUAGGAGUUGAUCAUUAAACAAAUCAAAUUUUUAAAACAUUGGAUGCACGAUCUCAUUAAUUAAAUUGUAACUUGUCUAUAAGGCCUUGAAAGAAAACAUCGUAGAAAUAUACACAAUUGAUACAAGUAAUUAGAAAGGAAAAAUCCUUUUGGCCAUAAUAGUAAUAAAUCUUAUUCACACUAUAAACUAGUUUUCUUUUGGACAUUUUUACCCCUUUCAUCUUAAAUUUAAAAUUCUUUCAUUAUUUAUUUUAUUACUAUUUUAUAAUACAUUGAAAAUUAUCCCAAUACAUGAAAAUGGACAUAUUAACAUAAUUUUCAUAAAGAAAAAAUCCUUUUGGCCAUAAAAUUUGGCUAUAAUUUGGCCAUAAUAGUAAUAAAUCUUAUUCACACUAUAAACUAGUUUCCUUUUGGAUAUUUUUACCCUUUUCAUCUUAAAUUUAAAAUUUUUUCAUUACUUAUUUUAUUACUCUUUUUCAAUACAUUGAAAACUAUCCCAAUACAUAAAAAUGGAUAAAUUAACAUAAUUUUCAUAAAUAUGAUUGCAUAGUACUUAUUACUUGAAAAGAAUAAUCUAAGAUAAAAAUAAUAAUAUAAAAUUAAUUAAUUAUAUUCUCAUAUAUCCAAAAUCAGUGUGACCAAAGUAGUAUUAUCUGAAAAUUUUAAUUUAACAUUAUAUAUUUAUGUAUCAUAUCUACUUAANNNNNNNNNNNNNNNNNNNNNNNNNNNNNNNNNNNNNNNNNNNNNNNNNNNNNNNNNNNNNNNNNNNNNNNNNNNNNNNNNNNNNNNNNNNNNNNNNNNNNNNNNNNNNNNNNNNNNNNNNNNNNNNNNNNNNNNNNNNNNNNNNNNNNNNNNNNNNNNNNNNNNNNNNNNNNNNNNNNNNGUUUAGUAUUACAUAAAAUAAGCAAUUAUCGAAAUUUCCAACACAAAAAGUUAAUUAUUUUUUAGGAAUUCAGUUGUAUAAUUUUAAUUAUGCUAUAAUUUUUCUCAUGAUAAUUCAAAUGAUUUUUUUUUUCAUUUCAAAUCUUUUCUAUCUAUUUUUAGAAGUAGAGCGGGAAAAAGUCAACAUAACAUUUGAAAAUUUCGUAUAAAAAUUUCUUAGUUGAAAAAAAAAAUACCCUAUGUUAAUCUUACACUUAAAUUAUAUAUAAAUGAUAAGAAAAAUACAUAAAGAAAAGAAUAAAAAUUAUUUACGAGUUUUAAAACUAAAAGUUUGCAUAGUUAACAAUUUUUAAUAUAAUAUAAAAAUAUUUUAAUAAAAACUUAAAACACUUUAGACGUGAUAGACAUUGACAAGUUACAAAAAUCAUAUAGUUUAUAAGUGUCGGCUUUAAUUAACAAUAACCUAAGAGAGUCAUACAUUGAUGUUGUAGUAUUGCGUCACUAUGCUACGCCAAUUUGAUAACUUAGGAAUCAUUAUUUAUAUUUUUAUUAAUAUAUAUGACUUCUAAUUAAGGAAUUAUAUUAAUUUUUAUGUUUAUAUAAAUUUAAACAACAUAUUUGAAUAGCUUUUUUUUUUUUUUUAAAAAUACAGUUUAAAAAUACUUCAAUAGUGAUAGUCAAAGCUCAAAUUACUUUAGACAUGAUAGAUAUCGUCACAAAAUAAAAAUUAUAUAGUUCAAAAAAAGUUGAUAUUGGUUAAACAUCAAUUCAAAAAAGUCACACAUUAAUGUUAUGGUCUUGCGAUCUUACGUAUUUAAUUGUUUUAUUUGUUAACUGGUGAAUUAAAAAUAUAAUUAUUAACUGGUGAAUCAUUAAUUAUAUUUGUUAUUAAUAUGAACUUUAACUGCGUGAUUUUAUUUUUUUGUUUUAAAAAGUUGAACAAUAUAUUUAAAUAGUUUUAAAAUAUAAUUAAAAAAAAAUUCUAUAACGAUUGUCUAAAUUCAAAAUUCUUUAGACAUGAUAGUUAUUAACACAUUAUAAAAAUCAUAGAGUUCAUAAUUGUUGACGCUAAUAAACAUCAACCCAAAAUAAUCACUCAUUAUAGCUAUUAAGCUAACCAUUGUCAUAAUUUCUUAGUACUCUAAAUAAAAAUUAACUAUGUCCACAUUUAAUUAUUUUCACAUUUCUCAAUAACCUGAAGUAGAAAUAAUGAUUAAUUAUAAUAUUUUGUUUGAAAUAAUUUAUUACAACUACAAGCUGAGGUUACUAUUGCUAAAUUAACUUUUAUCGUGUGAAAAAUAACUUUUCACCUACACUAGGAAUGUUGUAGGUGAAAAUUAAAAAAAAUUAAAAAAUUGAAUAACUAAAAUCAAAGAUAGGUAAAAUUUAUCUGCUAUUACAUAACAUUGAUUCUAUCACAUAAAAAAAUUCAAACAUAAACAUCAUUUAACUUUAAAAACUGAUAUAUUUGUGACAUAAAAAUAUUCAUCUUUAAAAUUUAGAACACAAAAAUUAUUUGACCACAAUUUUUGCGUACCAUUAGAACAUAAUAAAUUAAAGGACAUAUAAUAGCUAUAAUAGCGAUUAUAUGAAAUUGAUUUGAGUCCAUAAUAAAUACUAAUUCUCAUAGCACUUGAUUAGGAUAAGCUUAUGUGAGACUUAUUAAUUUUUUUUUUAGAUUUGAUAUAACUAGUUAAUCAAAGUUAAUAUAAUUACUUAUUUUUAAAAAUUACAUUAAAAAAAUUUACAAGCUAUAAAAUUGGAUCCAAUCAUCGACAACUCUAAUGACACUUCAAAUACUCUAUAUGUGAGACAAGGCUAUCAAUUAAUUUUAAUCGUGGAUAUAUAGUUGUAUGCUUAAGAUACUGAAAUAGCUCAUUAUUGGUAUCAAAUCAAUAAUAAUUCAUACAAGCUAAAUCUUCUAAUCGAUAAUUAAGUCAAAAAAAAUAAAAUUCAAUUUAUUCAUUUUUCUCUUUAUAAAGAGGUUUUCUUUCAUCCAAAAAUUGACUAUAAUUUCUUACAUAGAUUUCAUUUUAAAAUACUUAACUUCUAUCGACGCCAUUACAAUAAAAGUAUUAUUAUUGAACAAACAUAACGUAACACUUAGUGAAAUUAAUUUGUUUAAAAUUAAUAUAAAUAGUUGAUUGAAAGAAAUUAAAUUUAAUUGUCCAUUUAUUUAGAUAUAAAUUAUUGUAUAGAUACACUUUUAUAAUUAUUAUGUUCAGUUAUUAAUCCUUGUUCAACUAACAAUAAUUACAUUUGCACUAAUUAUUAGUUAAUUCAAUUUAAUAAUAUACCAUAAAAGUAUUAUUCUAAUAAAUAAUGUUUGAGAGUCAUAACAAUUAUCAAAAUAUCUGAUCAAGAUAAAACUUAAGUUUAAAAGCAGUAAAAUUUUAUUUAAAUCAGCUAUAAUUAGUUAAUUAAAAAUAACUACAUUAUAAUCACUGAUCUAUUUAAAUUAUAUUUCAAGUUUACUUGUAAGACUCGAUAAGAUUGUAUCAAAUCAAACCAAAUGAUUAAAAAUCUAAUUUAAUUAGACCGGCAAAUAUUAUUAUGAUGAAACUUAGUGUUUGAUUUUAUGAUAAAAAAAUUUAAUAUCUAUGUAGACACAAUAUAAAUUUAGUAUUGUAUUUUUAUAAUCUUUUUUCAAAGAAGUUUAUUCGACCUAGUUAACAACAACCUAGGAGAGUAUAAAAAAUUAAUAUUGUAGUUUUUGUGCCUUAUUUUAUGCCAAUUUGACAACUUAUGAAUCAUUACUUAUAUUUUCUAUUAAUAUGAGCUCUAAAUAAGUAAUUUUAUAAAUUAUUAUGUUUGAAUAAAAUUUAAACUAUAUAUUUUUUUAAAAUGUAACUUUUAAAAUAUUUCAAUAACAACACUCAAAACUCAAAGUACUUUAGUUAUGAUAGACAUUGACAUAUUGUAGAAAUCGCAAAAAUUAUACAAUUCAUAAGUGUCGAUCCUAAUUAUGAAAAUCAAGCAUACAUAUGAUAUGUUAUAAAAUCUUACACCUAUACAUUCCGUAAUAUUAUGCCUAUUUUAAAAAUAUUUUAAAAAAAUUAUGUAUAAAAUAAUUUUAAAGUGAAAGAAUAAAAUAAAAUAUUACAUUUCAAUAAAAUUACAAAUAACUUAAGUAUUUAAAGUGAAAACAAAUUAUUACUAAUAGUUGGUUUAUCCUAUUAAAUAAUUUGUAUCAUUUCAUAUCACACUCAUUAGACACAAAAAAAUUAUUUUAUAAAAUAAAUAAAUUAUACAUUUUCUAACUUUUUAUUUUAAAUUAUUUCCAAAUUAAAAAUAAAAGAAAAAAAUAAUAAGUUAGCCUCUUUCAUCAAUUUCUCUCCGAAUUAAAAGGCAUCGCAUGGAUAUUUAGCCUCUUUCAUCAUUCGAUUUUUUUAUUACUAUUUUAGUUUUUGAUUUUUAAUCUUAAUUUUUUAUUUUACAUUAUUUAUGUUCCAUUUCCUUUCUUUUUAUUUGUCAAUCGUUACUUCUUCUAAUUUUAUGUUGUGCCACACAUUUUUAUUAUUUAUUUCUGUAUUUAUUUAUUUAUUUAUUUAUUCAUCUAGCAUAACUAAUUAACUACACUACUAUUUUAAUUAUCGAAUUAAAAUAUAAUUUUAUUGUUGAACAAGGUUAUAGAUUCAUAUUUUCUUUUAUUUUGAAUUAAAUUAUGUGGGUCAUAAAAAAUUAUCGAAAAACAUGAAUUAAUUAUUUUUAUAAUAUUAGUUAUAAAUGUAUAUAUUUAUUUAUUAAUAUAUUUUUAAUAAAUAAUAUAUGUAUCUUGAAUAUCAAUUUAGUAUUAUUUAUAAGGAUUAGUUGCUAUCAGAUACGAGUCUUACUUAAGACAUGGUGGACAUCAACACAUUAUAAAAAUCAUAAAACUCAUAUAGUUCAUGUGUGUCAAUCUAGUUAACAACAAUCCUGAAAAGUCUUCCGCUAAUGUUGUGGGGGGCUUAGGCUCUCAUGUUACGCCGAUUUGAUAACUUGCGAAUUAUCAUUUAUGUAUGUUAUUAAUAUGACCUCUAAUUAUUAAUUAUGUUUAAAUUAUUUUUUUUAUAGUAGUGGUGUCCGAGCCAACUUGCAAUAAAUUUAAACUAUAUAUUUAAAUAAGUUGAAUAAUAACAACAGUCAAAAUUUCAAACACACUUUAGACAUAAUUGACAUCGACACAUUAUAGAAUCAUAAAAAUUGUACUGUUCACAUGUAUUGACCCUAGUUAACAACAACUAGAGAUAUCAAGACGCAUUAAUGUUGUAGCCUUAGAUCCUUAGGUUAUGCUGAUUUGAUAAUUUGUGAAUCAUUACUGAUAAUUUUUAUGAAUAUGUUCUUUAAUUAAGCAAUUUAAUUAAAUAUUAUAUUUAAAAAAAUUUAAAUUUUAUUUCAAUAAUUUUUAAAUAUAAUUUUAAAAUAUAUCAAUAUCGACUGUCAAAAUUCAAAACACUUUAAACAUGAUAGACAUCGGCAUAUUAUAAAAAUCGUAUAGUUCAUAUAUUUUUAUCUUAGUUAACAGCAACUCAUGAGACUCAUGCAUUGAUGUUGUCAUCUUACGUCCUUAUGUUACGUCGAUUUUAUAAGUUGCAAAUUAUAAUGUAUAUUUUUUAUCAAUAUGAUCUCCAAUUAAGUAAUAUUAUAUUUAAAUAAAAUUUAAGCUAUAUAUUUAGAUAAAUUUUAAAUAUAAUUUAGUAUAUUUCUUUAACGGCAGACAAAAUUCAAAUCAUUAUACACAUAAUAGAUAUUGACACAUUAUAGAAAUUGUGAAAAUCACAAAAUUUACAUUUUUGGACCCUAGUUAACAACAACUAAAGAUAUCAAGAUGCAUUAUUGUUGUAUUUUGUACCUCUAUAUUACGGUAAUUUGAUAACUUGUGAAUAUUACUUAUAUUCACUAUUAAUAUAUCCUUUACUUAAAUAGUUUUAAUUAAUUAUUAUAUUUUAAUAAAUUUAAACUAUAUUUAAAUAAUUUAUAAGUCUAAUUUAAAAAUAUUUAAAUAAUAAUAAUUAAAAUUUAAAAUAUUUUAGACAUGAUAAACAUUGACACAUUAUAAAAUUAUAUUUGUUGAACCUAGUUAAUGUUUUAAGAAAAACACUUUUGUGAUAAACUUUAGAAUGAAAUGACUUUUAUAUAAUAAAUAAAUAAAUUUCUGUGAUAAAUUCAAAAUUUAGUUAACCACCGAUGAUCUUUAUCCAAAAUAUUUUAAAGAAUUAUGAUCAAUAUAUAAUAAAAUUAGUUUUAAAUUUUGAUAAAAAAAAAAGACUAAAGAGAAAUUGAGGGAGAAGGACGAAAAGGGAGGGUGUGAUUGGAUAGAAGGUGAAAUUAAGGUGGGUCUCUCAUUUUAAAGUUAAAUGAAUCUUCCUCUUUCAUAUUUGAUGAUAGUCAUAAUUUAUUCACUAUAAAUUUUAGUUACAUUUAACUUCUUGAAUUUAGAAGAUAGUAAAGAUUUUUUUUUUUUAAAAGGAAAAUGUCAGUAUAGUCUUUAUACAUUUAUGGCCAUUUUUGGGCCAAAAAAUUAUGGCAAAAAAUAUUUACUCUAAUCAAAUAAUUUUAUUAAUUAUUAUAUUUAAAUAUAUUUAAAUGAUAUUUAAAUAAAUUUUUAAAUUUAUAAGUCUAAUUUGAAAAUAUUUCAAUAUUAGUAAUCAAAAUUUAAAAUACUUUAAAUAUAAUAAACACUGACACAUUAUAAAAAUUAUAUAGUUCAUAUUUAUCAACCCUAGCUGACGUUUUAAAAAAAUGUGAUAAACUUUAGAAUUGAAUGCCUUUUAUAUAAUAAUAAAUUUAUUAUUGUGAUAAGUUCAAAAGUAGUUAAUCAUAAAUGAACUUUUUCUAAAAAUAUUUUAAAGGAUUAUGAUCAAUAUAUUAAUAAUCGUUGAUGAACUUUUCUAAAACAUAUUUUAAAUAAUUAUGAUCAAUAUAGUAAUAAAACUGGUAGAAGGAAGAAAAUGCAAUGGAUGAAGUUAGGUGGGUUCCACAUACUAAAGUUAAUUUAAUAAUUUUCCUUCACAUUUAAUGAUAGUGAUAACUUAUCCCACAUAAACUUUAGUUGCAUUUAAUAUUAAAAAUUUACUUCCUUUUUAUUUAAGGAAAAAGUUAGUAUGGUCUUUGUACAUUUAUGGCCAUUUUAUGACAAAAAAAUUAUGGCCAUUUAGCAGCUCCCAAUCAACUUGAAAACUACUAACAAUCCCAUAAUUAGGGGUGUUCAUGGGUCGGUUAUUGGUCAAUACCAUAACCAAACCAAUUUAGUCGAUUUUUAAAUUUCUAAAACCAAAUCAAAUCAACACAAAAAAAAUAACCGUCGGUUUGGUUCUUGUAGAUUUAGUUCGGUUUGGUUUGGUUUUUCAGUUAAUAACUUUAGUUGAUGAUAAAAGUUGAAUUUUUUCUUAAAAAAAUUCAAUCCAACAUAUGAGAUGUCAACCGAGUGUUGUUCCUCAACCUUGAAACUAAUAUGUCAAUUUAGUGUUAUACUUAGACAAAUAUGAACACUUCUACAAAUGUAUUUAGAAACUUAGGCAACGCCAUGAACAACACCAUAUGAACGCUUCCACAAAUGUAUUUAGAAACUACAUAUAAGCAAACUAAUUUUUAAUGGAUCAAAAAGUUUGGUGGAUUCUUUUUAAUGAAUCAAAAAAAAAAAAUUUAAAGAAAAAAAUAAUUUAAAAAAAAUUAAAAAAUGAUGUGGACCUCUAAUAUGCCGCCACGUGCCAAAGCUGUUUUCUAAAAAUCGGCUGUUAAAAGUAAUGGCAUGGAUGAGCCAGUUUUGUAACGACGAUGGCAUGAAUGAGCCCAACUUUUAACGGAUAGCAUAAAUGAGUCAUUUCUAAUAGUUCAGUGGAAUAUUUGAGCCUUUUUCCUAAAUAAUUUAUAUAUGCAUAUGUAUGUGUGUGUAUGCAUAUAUAUAUACAUAUAUAUAUAUGUAUAUAAAAUUUAUCGGUUCGGUUUGGUUAUUUUGUCGGUUAUUUUAGAGUAAAACCAAAACCAAACCACAUAAGUAUCGGUUUUAAAAAUUUAUAACCAAAUCAAACCAAACCUAACCAAAUAUCGAUUUUUUUAAUCGGUUUGGUUUGGUUCGCGGUUCGGUUUGAUUUUUAACCAAACCAUGAACACCCCUACCCAUAAUAUCCAAAUUUUACCGUUAGCGCGUAAGUAUAAUUUUGGAUCAAGCUAUAACCAGGUAGUAUUUGUUGUGGUAUUGGUGCAGCUUUAGGGUAUUUCACUCUUGUCUCUACCAUUUCCAUCAAUUUUACAUGAUUCUCCCUUGCAUAUCUUCUUAACUCCUUUUGCUUAGACUUUUUAUUGAUGCCCCUGAUAUUCCACCCUAACCAACUUAUCAUCAAAGUUGAGAUGCACCCCCUCCUUCAUUAGGAAGUAAGUCCUCGGCCACCACAAUAUUUGAUUGUUGCAGUACUUCAAAUUUAUUUCUCAUCCAAGUUGAAUAUAUUGCUACUUUGUCUCCGUUACUCUUUUUCUUUUUGUCGGAUUAUUGUUGAUGUAAUAAUAAAAAACUAAUUUAAAGGAAAAUUUGACCAAAAUUGUGAUAAAUUUUUUUUGUCUUCAAUAUUUUAUGGACUUGAAGUACUUCUGAUUCCAUCGAUAAUGAAUGGGUUCAAAUAGUUCAAUCGGGGUGGUUGUUGAAGCAUAACACAUAGUUUGAGCAACGACGAAAAGUUUAGAAAUUAUAACAUCGAUAUAAUUUGUAUGUUAGAAAGAUUUAGGGAAUAUGUAGAAAUUAUAACUUUCGAAUUUAGUACAUCAAAUGCAUGGUGUUACAAUCUCGGCUAAAAAAUGUUAUGUUUAAAUUAUGCAUCUUCCUCCGGAUUUUAUUUUAUGAAUAUAACUUUCGGGAAUACAGUGAAGGGUAUUAUCUUUGGAAAAAGGACAUGAGUUGACCAUUUUUAAAAAAAAUGGCCAUAAUUUGAAAAGGUGGACACCUUUAGCCAGUCGGCUAAAUUUAUUUCCCUAUUUUAGCCAUUUGCCCAGUCGGUCAUAUGCAGUUUCUAUUCCCAGUUGAUACACUUUUUUACCAUAUUGAUACACUUUUAUACUAUAUUGAUACACAUUUUUAAAAAGAAAGAGGGGAUCCUAUACCCAAUUAGUAAUCUUUUAUACCAUAUUGAUAUACUUUUAUAACAAGAUUGAAGGGAAUCUAUGCAUAUGCAGUGUCCAUAUAUCCAAUUGAUACUCUUUUAUACUAGAUUGAUACACUUUAUACCAUAUUGAUACACUUUUAUAUUACAUUGAUACACUUUUUUUAAAAAAAGAGAGGAUCAUAUACUCAAUAGAUACUCUUUUAUACCACAUUGAUACACUUUAUAACAAGAUAGAAAGGGAAUCUAUGCAUGCAUAUACAGUGUUUAUAUAUUCAUAGAGUCUUUGCAAGCAUAUACAAUAGCUAUUUUUUAUUAACCACCUAGCUAAGAAAAAUAACAAUUUUUUUUUAAAAAUAGAAACAAAAAGUAUAUUUUUACUCUAUAAUUUGAUAUCAACAAAUUUUCUUUUGUAACACUUUUCUACCAUAUAACCUAUCUAAAAAUUCUUACUCUGCUUCGAAAUUCUCUGUUUGAUUUUGAGGUUUUUGUUGAAAAUGAUGGAAAAAUUCAGUCUAUCGAAUGGAAAAGCAAUCAAGAAAGUG